rnacentral:piRNA from 1 species
UAAAACCACUUUGUGUCUUGAAUAAUAGU